GGUCUUAUAGUCUAAAAAAUGAUAUUAAAUUGCAAAUUUAAAGAUGAAUUUAUAAUUUUAAGGCUU
rnacentral:tRNA from 1 species